AUACGAAAGGUGCAAGCGUUGUUCGGAUUUACUGGGCGUAAAGAGAGUGUAGGUGGUUUAUUAAGUCGGAUGUGAAAUCCCGGGGCUCAACCUCGGAACUGCAUUCGAUACUGAUAGGCUAGAGUUUGGGAGGGGUAAGCGGAAUUCCGUGCGUAGCAGUGAAAUGCGUAGAUAUACGGAGGAACACCUGAGGCGAAGGCGGCUUACUGGACCAAUACUGACACUGAGACUCGAAAGCGUGGGUAGCAAACAGGAUUAGAAACCCGAGUAGUCC
rnacentral:rRNA from 1 species